rnacentral:lncRNA from 1 species
GUUUGUGUGUGUGUGUGUGCUUUUUCUCUUCCCUAACAUGGUCAGGUAGACCCUUGUGCCUAGCUGUCAUAUGUUUUGAUGGAUGGAUUAAGCCAUGCAGAAAAAGAGACUGUCAAAAAGAGGUAGUCUUCAAUUUGGUAGCCAAAAAAGGUCACACACACAGAGCUGGUACCGUGACACUGUAGACCAGAGCCAUAGCUUUAGUUUCUCUCAUCUAUAAUCUAGCUUCAGCCUCCUCCCUGAAGAGCCUGGCAUGACCUGUGCUUAUCUGGUUCCUAUUACACUCUGUGUACACUGUACAUUAGCAUCAGGUGUAGGGAAGUUAAGCUCCAUGGGUCGGACCUUUUAGGAAUUGUUCAUAGCUGCAGUCCAGUCAGCAUACACGUACCAGGCGUUGUUCACACUGAUUUAAAAGAAGAGGUGAGAGUUCUAUUGAAGGUAAGAAAAAAAAUCUCUGAACUGGAAAUUUUAUUUGGGGCGAUAUGUGUAUUGUGCAUGUGUGCGUGUUCAUGUGCAGAUGCACUCACAGGACACACAGGUGCAAGGCGCCAGUAGAUGGAAAAAAAGCCACUGGACAACUAUCCAUUAGAGCCUUGGUGGCUCUGUGGUCUUCACUGGAACUCAGUGUUGUCAUUGUCUACUUUCUGUUGCUAUAUCUGCCUGGUAAAGUGCAUGUUUGCAGGAGAAUCUCAAGACAGGAAGCCCUGCUGUCUACCCUCAGGCUAUGAAGGCAGGGCUGAUACCCACCCAGGAGUCCCCAGUGCACCUUUCUCCCUCCUGCUUCUACGUUAGGUGUUUGGAUUCAGGAAUAUGAAGACAUCUUUUGCCUUUUGAAAUUUAUGUGCCUGAAAGCCAGCUGAGUGUUUUAUUCACUAGUGUGUAGAAAGAACACAUAACCCUCCCACUUUUAUCCUCCCCUAAGUAUAUGUUCAUAUGUCCUUCCCCAGUCCCAGUGGCUUUCUUUCUUUUUUUUUUGUUUUUUUUUUUUUUGUUUUGUUUUUCGAGACAAAGUUUCUCUGUGUAGCCCUGGCUGUCCUGGAACUCACUUUGUAGACCAGGCUGGCCUCAAACUCAGAAAUCCACCUGCCUCUGCCUCCCAAGUGCUGGGAUUAAAGGCGUGCGCCACCACUGCCUGGCUCCCAGUGGCUUUCUUAUACUAAGUCCUGUGCUAUCCUCAGAGUAGCUGUUGAGUAGUCUCAGUGCAGAGCAGCUUGUUCCUGCUGCGCUAGCUGCAGAGGAGGCCCAGAGCCCUGAGUCAGCACUGAGCCCACUUGUGUUUCCUUGCAGGGCUCUUUUUACCUAUGAAGGCAACAGCAAUGACAUCCGUGUGGCUGGCACAGGAGGUGAGUAUGAACCCAAACAACAGUAUCAUAGUGAGAUGACAAAGGGAGACGUGUGACUAACUCGGGCCACCGCAGCUGAUGUUCAAGCCAUCACAGGCGCAGAAAGAGGACUUGGGUACACAGCCAUCUCUUCCUCCAGCUCAGCUACAGUGACCCUUCCCCAGCUGAGUUUCCCUGCAGACCUUUUGCCAAGUUGGCUUCAUUAAGGGCUACUCCUGAUCUGAAUGCAGACCAGCAUCGACCAGGACCAGGGCGAGAGCCAUGUCAGCCAUGACACUGACGCAGGUCACAUGUUUGUUAGUGAAAAACUUCUCUGGUUGGGCCGGGCAGAGCUGUUAGCUAAGAAACAGGCUGCUUUCCACUUCACAGGCAGCCCUUCUCUAGGGCAUUGCACACUGAGGAUGCCAGCCCUGAAGCUGGUGAUGCAGGUGAAGGCCCACAUAUGUUCUCUGCUUCUGUCCUGCUCUGCUCUUGGGCAAGGACCUCCAAGAACCUGACCCUCAUUAGGAGAGGCAGUGCUGCUGCAAGUGGUCAAGGUGAAAUUCUUUGUCCGCUAUAGGGAUCAACUGGCAAGUCAGCCGAUCGAUCCAGAGAUGCCUGAGCUAUGAGACAGGCCUGUCUGUCAGCUGAAACCCUUGACUCUCCCCUUGCUUGAGGCUAGCAUGACUGCCCGUGGGGCCUUCCUAACCCCCUCUGCUCCUAGCUCCAAGUGGAUGGCCAGAGCAUACUUCCUGCUCAGGCAAAUGAGAGUAUGGUCUCAGUUACUAUUGCUGAUAGAAAGGUCCCUUUCCACUAUGAGCCAUUCUUGCUGACACAUCCUCUUUCUAGAAUUGCCACCAAAUGGACAUUUCAUGUGACGUGGUAGGUGCCUGUGAGUUGUGGGUAUCAGCAUUCCUAGCUUCCUGCCGGCACAAAGCAGGACUCGUUUGUUCAUCAGAAUGCUGACUGCCCUAGGUUCUAUGGAGCCCUGUAGCUGAAAUGCCUGACCUGGCUUCUGCUAUGACCUGGAAGUUUAGAGAGCAAAGCCCAGGGUCAGGAAGACGCUUAGGGCAGCUCAUCCUGGCCCCAGGCAGGGAUGUGAGAGUUGAGCUUCAUCUUUGGAAUGCUCCAGAAAGGCCUGACUCUGAUGGUCAAGUUUGUGACGAGGGAACAUUAUAGGCCUAUUGUCUCAGGCCUACCUUGGUAAAAUUGUCACAGAAAUCUAGUGAUAUGCAGGCACAGUGGCAUACAUUUAAUCUCAGCACACAGGAGACAGAGGCAGGAGGAUGUCUGUUAAUUUGAGGCCAGCCUGGUCUACAUAGAGUGUUCCAGGACAGCCAGAAAAACCUGUCACAAAAGCAU